rnacentral:rRNA from 1 species
GACGAACCGAGCGAACGUUGUUCGGAAUCACUGGGCUUAAAGGGCGCGUAGGCGGAUUCUCAAGUCCGGGGUGAAAUCCCACAGCUCAACUGUGGAACUGCCUCGGAUACUGGGGGUCUCGAGGGUGGCAGGGGUAUGCGGAACUAUCGGUGGAGCGGUGAAAUGCGUUGAUAUCGAUAGGAACUCCGGUGGCGAAGGCGGCAUACUGGUCCACUUCUGACGCUGAGGCGCGAAAGCCAGGGGAGCAAACGGGG